UCAAACUAAAGAUUAAAAAUUAAAAUUCGUUUCUGCAAUAAUGACAGACGACCUGCACCUACCCACAUGCACUCAUGUGAGACAAGGCCCAUUAGUAUGGCCCCCUUGCCCUUCCGGUAAUAGUUAAUUUUGAAUAAUUAUGUAUUGUCUAAAAAGCGAUGAGUGCUAGUUUUGUUUCCUUGUUUAAAAAAAAAAAAAAAAACAACACAAAUCCCCACAAACGUUUUGUUUUGUUUAAAAGCAAGGCAUGCUUGUGCUGACUGUAACCGACUAAUUCAGAUCGUCAGAGCUGCUCCCUGGUCCAUGUGGAGAGUAUUCUGGGGCAUCUUAGUGUCUUCUGUUGUUUUGUUUUGUUUUUCUUCCACCCUUCUCUCCUUUUAGGGUGUGUAUGGGGUUGUUUCUUAGACUUGUAUUUUAAAAUUUGUAAACCUGAGGACAGCCUGUGGGGAGGAGGACAGAGUAUUUCCACAUUCCACUCCCUAGGUCUAGUUUAGCAAACGUGUCCCCACCUG
rnacentral:lncRNA from 1 species